ensembl:lncRNA
UUUCACAGUUGUACUACAGAUCGAAGAUCCAUCUGCUAGUAACCAAAGCAACCUCGCACGGAUGCUUGUGGUGUAUCAUCGCCACGACCUGCAAUAAAUACUAACCAGCUGUUAGGAUUAUGCAUUUUUCUUAGUGCCCUGGGAUCCCCGGGGGGGUUGCCGACCAGUCUGUAGUCCUCAUGAGGCCUUAUUUGAUAAAUUAAUAUAAACUCUUUUAUUUUAAAAUAUUUUCCGAUGGAAAAAACUGAGAUAUAAUGGCCUUUGAAGAUAGUGGAAGUCUGAUUUUUUUAAGCUUUUGACGUCUCCUCGCUGGCUGGUCCUUCUCUGUGCACUGCUGACACCUUUAUAUGAAAACUCAAAACACUGUUAUUAAAAAAAACAAGCGAUAAAAAAUUAUCAAAGCUAUUCCUUUAAAACACAGAAGGAGAUACUGGCCAUUACAGCGUCCACCUGUCCUCCAUUAUAUAUAACAUUAUGCUUCACCUCUUCUCCAAAAUUUCAAAGUGGACAUUUCUCUGUAAUGUGCGAUGGCCCCGCUCCAAUCCUGAGUACUGUAUUAUCGUGUGCUGUUGUACAUCAUUCAUGUGUUCACCGAGGGAAUCCCACGGCACGGUGUUGUGUUACUGUGUAAUACAUCACACUGCAGCAAUGACACGCUGUCAUUUCUACUAUUGGUACAAUGAAAGUAGAUGCUAAACACUACCAUGCUGUUAGAAACACAGCAGUGUUUUAGUUGUUUUGAUGUGGGAGUUUUUUUCCCUGGAAAUAUUGAAACUGACAGCGUCUGGAGAGUGUAGUGUGAGUGUAAAGGCUCAAGGUGUGUUCAGGCUAUUUGCUGCAUUCCUCAUUUCAUUCCUGGUAUGCCUAAUGAUGAUGACUGGACUGCUUUCUGCAAUAAAAGAAGAUAACCUUCAGAAACUCUCUUUCUUUUUUUUCUUUUUUUAGUGCAUUGUUUAAUGAUGUGUUUAUGAUAUUUGCUUGUACCCAGAGCUGUAAAGGACAGUCUUUCUACGAAGUCCCCCGUCCACCACAUCCUCCUAAUUUCAGAUGCACAUAAUUAUGCUUUUCCUUUGAAUGGCUUGACACAAUCUUCCAGGAGGUUUGCGAUCAAAGUGGACAGCUCAGACAUGUGAUUGAGCAUUGUCAGACUAAUUGCUGUUGGUAUACUUCCUGAAUGCAUAAUAGACAUAGAUACAUGUGACUUAUCAUGGCGAUCUGGGUGCUUUAUAGUUGUCUCGUAAUUAGUUGGGGGACUUUCUUUUAUGAGUACCCGAGGGAGAUAAUUACGAUGAUGAGAUUCCGUGACGAUAA